GAUGAACGCUGGCGGCGUGCCUAAUACAUGCAAGUCGAGCGAACGGACAAGAAGCUUUCUUCUCUGAUGUUAGCGACGGACGGGUGGGUAACACGUGGAUAACCUACCUAUAUUACUUGGAGAACUUCGGGGAACCGCAGCUAAUACCAGCUAAUAUUUUGAACCGCAUGAUUCAGGAGUUAAUGACGCUCUUGCUGUCACUUAUAGAUGGAUCCGCGCUGCAUUAGCUAGUUGGUAAGGUAACGGCUCACCAAGGCAACGAUGCGUAGCUGAUCUGAGAGGAUGAUCGGCCACACUGGAACUGAGACACGGUCCAGACUCCUACGGGAGGCAGCAGUGGGGAAUAUUGGACAAUGGGCGCAAGCCUGAUCCAGCCAUACCGCGUGAGUGAUGAAGGCCUUCGGGUUGUAAAGCCCUUUUGUUAGGAAAGAAAAGCAGCAUAUGAAUACCCCGCUGUUCUGAAGGUACCCAAUGAAAAAGCACCGGCUAACUUCGUG
rnacentral:rRNA from 1 species